UAGCAUUAUCCGCGAAACUGCGAAUGGCUCAUUAUAUAAGUUAUCGUUUAUUUGAUAAUACUUUACUACUUGGAUAACCGUGGUAAUUCUAGAGCUAAUACUUGCUGUACAUCCCGACUUCGGAAGGGAUGUAUUUAUUAGAUUAAAAACCAAUGCCCCUCGGGGCUCUCUGGUGAAUCAUGAUAACUNNNCGAAUCGACAGGCCUUGUGCCGGCGAUGGCUCAUUCAAAUUUCUUCCCUAUCAACUUUCGAUGUUUGGGUAUUGGCCAAACAUGGUGCCAACGGGUAACGGAGGGUUAAGGCUCGACCCCU
rnacentral:rRNA from 1 species